rnacentral:rRNA from 1 species
CGUGGACCCGUAAUCCGGGUUGCGGACAGUGUCUGGUGGGUAGUUUGACUGGGGCGGUCUCCUCCUAAAGAGUAACGGAGGAGCACGAAGGUUGGCUAAUCCUGGUCGGACAUCAGGAGGUUAGUGCAAUGGCAUAAGCCAGCUUGACUGCGAGCGUGACGGCGCGAGCAGGUGCGAAAGCAGGUCAUAGUGAUCCGGUGGUUCUGAAUGGAAGGGCCAUCGCUCAACGGAUAAAAGGUACUCCGGGGAUAACAGGCUGAUACCGCCCAAGAGUUCAUAUCGACGGCGGUGUUUGGCACCUCGAUGUCGGCUCAUCACAUCCUGGGGCUGAAGUAGGUCCCAAGGGUAUGGCUGUUCGCCAUUUAAAGUGGUACGCGAGCUGGGUUUAGAACGUCGUGAGACAGUUCGGUCCCUAUCUGCCGUGGGCGCUGGAGAACUGAGGGGGGCUGCUCCUAGUACGAGAGGACCGGAGUGGACGCAUCACUGGUGUUCGGGUUGUCAUGCCAAUGGCACUGCCCGGUAGCUAAAUGCGGAAGAGAUAAGUGCUGAAAGCAUCUAAGCACGAAACUUGCCCCGAGAUGAGUUCUCCCUGAGACUUAGAGUCUCCUGAAGGAACGUUGAAGACGACGACGUUGAUAGGCCGGGUGUGUAAGCGCAGCGAUGCGUUGAGCUAACCGGUACUAAUGAACCGUGAGGCUUAACCUUACA